GUGGCUUGAAUUUAAGUAACACAGAUUUUUUAUCUUUAACUUGAAUUGGUUUUUUUCCCAAAAUUAUAUCUCAUAUGAAAAUUCUUAUCACUUAGGUUUGGCUAUGUAAUAUAGAAAUCUUCAAGCUUCGUGGGGUCCAUGUCAAUGGCAAUUUUAGGAUCAAUUCUUACAGGGCACAUGCCCCUCAGCUGCAUUGCAAAAUUGAAAUUUUAAGUGGGAUCGAUUCUGUUCCUGGGGCUGAAGUUGUAGAUUCUUGGUUGGGAGGUGCCGCCCAAAGAAAGAGUUAAAGUCUUGGUUGGGAGGUGCCACUCAAAGAAAGAAACAAAAGAGAAAGAAGAAAAAGAAGAAUUUAGUACCGCCCAAAGGAAAUUUUUUUUUUAAUUUAAUAGCCAUUUUUUGGCUAUAAAAGGGAGAGCUCCCCAUUUCAUUUAGCAUCCAAUUUUGCAGAGAGAGUUGAGAGUUGUGAGAAGUAAUUCUUGUAGAGCAAAGAAUUUUGUGUGCUCAGUGAUUUGAGAGUUUGGGUGUAUUGGGGUUUUGGGUAGUGAGCUAAAAUACUACAAUAUUUGUAACUCCUUUUCACUAGUAUAAUAUUUUCCUUCUGUCUUCGCCCAUGGACGUAGGCUAAAAGCCGAACCACGUAAUUUCUGGUAUUCUCUUUUGUUCUUGUUUUUUAUUUUCUUCCAAUUUUACUUUAGCUGCAUGUCUGCCUCACCCACCAGCAGCUACGUUCUGACUUUCAGACCUUCCAGCAGCAGAGCAUUGAUCAGCAGCUUGAGCUUAUUGCUGGACAGCGCACUCUUCUCCGCUAUUUCGGCUAUGAUCCGGGGAGCACAUCUUCUCCACCUCCAUAGUUUCUGAGUUCUAUUUUCGCACAUACAUUUCAUAUUUUGGUUGUUUGCGUGUUUCCAUUUAUAUUUUUAUACACACUGUUACCUCUAUAUGCUCUUUCUGGAUUUUGAUGACAUAUUUUUGUGAUGUUCUUGAUGUUGGAUGACUUGGUAAUUGGUUGAUGAAAUUGUUGGUUUCUUGGAUAUUGAAGUGUUGGUUUGUUUGUUCAUGGCGUUGUUGGUUUGUUGAAAGAUGGAAUUGUUGUUAAUAUAUUUUGGAAGUGUUUUAAUCUCAUUUUGUAUUAG
rnacentral:lncRNA from 1 species